rnacentral:rRNA from 1 species
UACGUAGGGUGCGAGCGUUAAUCGGAAUUACUGGGCGUAAAGCGUGCGCAGGCGGCUUUGCAAGACAGAUGUGAAAUCCCCGGGCUCAACCUGGGAACUGCAUUUGUGACUGCAAGGCUAGAGUACGGCAGAGGGGGAUGGAAUUCCGCGUGUAGCAGUGAAAUGCGUAGAUAUGCGGAGGAACAACAAUGGCGAAGGCAAACCCCUGGGCCUGUACUGACGCUCAUGCACGAAAGCGUGGGGAGCAAACAGG